AAUCAACGCUGGCGGCGUGCCUCAGACAUGCAAGUCGAACGAGAAGUCCCCUUCGGGGGAUGGAUAGUGGCGCACGGGUGAGUAACACGUGGGUAAUUUACCUUUGGGUGGGGAACAACAGCCGGGAAACGGCUGCUAAUACCGCAUAAUGCAGCGGCUCCUCAUGGAGACAGUUGUUAAAGCGGGGGAUCGCAAGACCUCGCGCCUGAAGAGAAGCCCGCGGCAGAUUAGCUAGUUGGUAAGGUAAUGGCUUACCAAGGCGACGAUCUGUAACCGGCCUGAGAGGGCGGUCGGUCACACUGACACUGACAUACGGGUCAGACUCC
rnacentral:rRNA from 1 species